rnacentral:tRNA from 1 species
GGGGCAAUAGCUCAGUUGGUUAGAGCAACGGACUCAUAAUCCGUAGGUCCACAGUUCAAGUCUGUGUUGCCCCA